rnacentral:rRNA from 1 species
GACGAACGCUGGCGGCGUGCUUAACACAUGCAAGUCGAACGGUGAAGGGACCAGCUUGCUGGUUCUGGAUGAGUGGCGAACGGGUGAGUAACACGUGAGUAACCUGCCCCCUUCUUCUGGAUAACCGCAUGAAAGUGUGGCUAAUACGGGAUAUUCUGGGUCUGUCGCAUGGCGGGCCCGGGAAAGAUAUUGCUUCGGUGGGGGAUGGGCUCGCGGCCUAUCAGCUUGUUGGUGGGGUGAUGGCCUACCAAGGCGGUGACGGGUAGCCGGCCUGAGAGGGUGGACGGUCACACUGGGACUGAGACACGGCCCAGACUCCUACGGGAGGCACCAGUGGGGAAUAUUGCACAAUGGGCGCAAGCCUGAUGCAGCGACGCCGCGUGAGGGAUGGAGGCCUUCGGGUUGUAAACCUCUUUCGCCAGUGAAGCAGGCCUGCUCCUUGUGGGUGGGUUGACGGUAGCUGGAGAAGAAGCGCCGGCUAACUACGUG